rnacentral:misc_RNA from 1 species
AACGCAAAUGGCGCUCUCGGGAUAGACCUGGGAGCACGCCUCUUUGAGUGUCGAUUCAAUCAAACUCAGCGACCUGCUCUUUAUUGGUGCGGGCUGCAGCUGAAUAUUGAGUGUCUCACGAAAGUGUGUCACUUUAAGCGGAGCGAGUCUCCUGUUUUCUAGCACUUGUUAGGCUUUCGGGCCUGGCAUAGCCUAGGUUGAGUUUUGCGCUGCGAACUUAUACCUACUAGUGAUGCGGAUAAUCACAUUAGUGUGUUCCAUCAUGACUGGUAGGAGCGAGCUCUGGUACAAACGACUUUAGUGUCAGCUCUGCCUUGUGCGAAAAUGCAUGAGAACUGUGUAGACAGAUCGGAGGCCGGCAGCAAUGCCUUGUGCCUUCAAUACCUCUUUGACUUAGACCUCAAAUGAAGCGAGACAACCCGCUGAACUUAA